rnacentral:rRNA from 1 species
ACGGGUGAGUAGUACAUCGGAACGUAUCCUGGAGUGGGGGAUAGCCCGGCGAAAGCCGGAUUAAUACCGCAUACGCUCUGAGGAGGAAAGCGGGGGACCUUCGGGCCUCGCGCUCAAGGGGCGGCCGAUGGCGGAUUAGGUAGUUGGUGGGGUAAAGGCCUACCAAGCCGACGAUCCGUAGCUGGUCUGAGAGGACGACCAGCCACACUGGGACUGAGACACGGCCCAGACUCCUACGGGAGGCAGCAGUGGGGAAUUUUGGACAAUGGGGGCAACCCUGAUCCAGCAAUGCCGCGUGUGUGAAGAAGGCCUUCGGGUUGUAAAGCACUUUUGUCCGGAAAGAAAUCAUCGGGGCCAAUACCCCUGGUGGAUGACGGUACCGGAAGAAUAAGCACCGGCUAACUACGUGCCAGCAGCCGCGGUAAUACGUAGGGUGCGAGCGUUAAUCGGAAUUACUGGGCGUAAAGCGUGCGCAGGCGGUGCUGUAAGACCGAUGUGAAAUCCCCGGGCUUAACCUGGGAACUGCAUUGGUGACUGCAGCGCUGGAGUAUGGCAGAGGGGGGUGGAAUUCCACGU